UUCAAUUCCUUCAUCAAAAGUCAGGGAGAAGAGAAAUACAUGCAAGACACAACUGCAAUAUGAAAAAUCAUUGAAGUACUGACAGGUGGAUUCAGCUGUAUGUAACAGAUUAAUACAACGAAGAAACAUUAGCAGCUGUUUAAUCUAUUCAGAUGGUGGAUUACAAAAACACCACUACCAGAAUGAAGAAAGUUGCUCCUGAGGAAAUGCCUUUAGAGUGUUCUGUCUCACAAAAUCUUGAAGAAAGCUGAACAUGUAACCAAGAAUGG